ensembl:lncRNA
UUGCUUUCUAUUUUUUUCAUUUCAUGAACUUAUUCAGGAAGUGUCAAUAUUUAUUUAGCUUUUAAGUACAAAACACUGUGCUGGCACUGGAGAGGAAUACAGAAGUGAAAACUGAGUGAACUGCUACUAAGAAAAAAGAGGAUGAAAUUGUCACUGCUGACAAGUGGCUCAGUGGUAAAGAAUUCACCUACAAUGAAGGAGACAUGGAUGAUGUGAAUUCCAUCCCUGGGUCAGGAGGAACCCCUGGAAGAGGAAAUGGCAACUCACUGCAGUAUUAUUGCCUGAGAAAUCCCAUGGACAGAAGAGCCUGGCUUGCUCCAGUUCAUGAAGGUCACAAAGAGCUGAACACGAUUGAGCAACUGAGCACACACAUGCAUAUUAAUAAUAAUUUAUUAUAAUUAAUAAAUCACCUAGAGAUUAUUUAAAUUUCUUUGCUUUACUUUCUACCUUGAAUUCAUCCAUUUGCCUCAAUUACACAAUAAAGUUACUAGAAAUUCAUUCUUUUGUAAUGUUACCAAUAUAAAAUAUGGUUAGGUUCAUUUGUUUCCACUUGUGUUCAAUUAGUGGCAAUAUUCUAUAUCUAAAUUAUUAUUUUUUUUAUUUUUAAACUUUACAUAAUUGUAUUAGUUCUAUAAAGCUCAACAUUCAAGAAACG